GUGGCUGCCUGCGAGAGAGUCCAGCAGAAAGCCGCCGUGACGCUUACUCGCCUCAGCCGGGACCCAGAGGUGGCCCGAGAAGCCAUACGGCUUGGGUGCAUGCCUCGUCUCACGGAGCUUUGCUGGGUCCCAGCUGAGAGGAAUAAUAGUGACUCGGUGCUCGUAGCAUGCCUGGCUGCCUUACGCACCCUGGCAGCGGUCUGCCCAGAAGGCCUCCAGGACACUGACUUCCAACAACUUGUCAAGCCUCGACUGGUGGACUCCUUCCUUCUGUGUGCAAACAUGGAAGAGAGCUUUGUAUGAGAAGGGAAAAGGCAGAAAAGAGGAAGAGGAACCCACUAGCCAUCCUCCCAUUUGACCAGCAUGGUGGAGCCUCCAACCCCCCUGCCCUUCCGCCCCCCCUCCACCACAUACACGCAUGUUCUGCUAUGGCCCUCGGCUUACUAUUUAUACUAACUUAUUAUCUGACUAGGAGGAUGGUGGGUUAAGUCCAGAGAUAACAUAACAGGAUACCCACCCUGGGCCUCUGUGGUAUUUUUUUAAACUUCUAUUACUUUUUGGUUGAAGAUAUUGAAUGUUAAUAGGCUAGAAAGGAUUGUGGAUGACUUCACUUUAUUUUGCAAUUGUGAUAUUUACAAUGUAAUCUUGCCACAUUUUUUAUACUGUAGAUCUCGAGUAUUUCUGCCACCUGGUAGUUCUGUAGUUUACUGUACUCUUUCUAAAAUUUCAGCCAUUGUUGAGACUAAAUUAAAUACAAAGACAGAGUGU